UUUUUCCGGUUGAUCCUGCCAGAGGUUACUGCUAUCGGUGUUCGCCUAAGCCAUGCGAGUCAUAUGUUCUUCGUGAACAUGGCGUACUGCUCAGUAACACGUGGAUAACCUGCCCUUGGGUCUGGGAUAACCCCGGGAAACUGGGGAUAAUACCGGAUAACGCAUAUAUGCUGGAAUGCUUUAUGCGUAAAAUGGAUUCGUCUGCCCAAGGAUGGGUCUGCGGCCUAUCAGGUAGUAGUGGGUGUAAUGUACCUACUAGCCUACAACGGGUACGGGUUGUGAGAGCAAGUGCCCGGAGAUGGAUUCUGAGACAUGAAUCCAGGCCCUACGGGGCGCAGCAGGCGCGAAAACUUUACAAUGCGGGAAACCGUGAUAAGGGGACACCGAGUGCCAGCAUCAUAUGCUGGCUGUCCAGAUGUGUAAAAUACAUCUGUUAGCAAGGGCCGGGCAAGACCGGUGCCAGCCGCCGCGGUAACACCGGCGGCCCGAGUGGUGAUCGUGAUUAUUGGGUCUAAAGGGUCCGUAGCCGGUUUGGUCAGUCCUCCGGGAAAUCUGAUGGCUCAACCAUUAGGCUUUCGGGGGAUACUGCCAGGCUUGGAACCGGGAGAGGUAAGAGGUACUACAGGGGUAGGAGUGAAAUCUUGUAAUCCCUGUGAGACCACCUGUGGCGAAGGCGUCUUACCAGAACGGGUUCGACGGUGAGGGACGAAAGCUGGGGGCACGAACCGGAUUAGAUACCCGGGUAGUCCCAGCCGUAAACGAUGCUCGCUAGGUGUCAGGCAUGGCGCGACCGUGUCUGGUGCCGCAGGGAAGCCGUGAAGCGAGCCACCUGGGAAGUACAGCCGCAAGGCUGAAACUGAAAGGAAUUGGCGGGA
rnacentral:rRNA from 1 species